CCUACGGGGCGCAGCAGUGAGGAAUAUUGGUCAAUGGGCGGGAGCCUGAACCAGCCAAGCCGCGUGAGGGAAGAAGGUACAGCGUAUCGUAGACCUCUUUUGUCAGGGAACAAAGGCGGGGACUAGUCCCCGGAUGAGGGUACCUGAAGAAAAAGCAUCGGCUAACUCCGUGCCAGCAGCCGCGGUAAUACGGAGGAUGCGAGCGUUAUCCGGAUUCAUUGGGUUUAAAGGGUGCGCAGGCGGGCCUUUAAGCCGGCGGUGAAAUCUCGGGG
rnacentral:rRNA from 1 species